GACGUAGGGCGCGAGCGUUGUCCGGAUUUAUUGGGCGUAAAGAGCUCGUAGGCGGCUUGUCGCGUCGUCCGUGAAAACCUGCGGCUCAACUGCAGGCUGGCGGUCGAUACGGGCAGGCUGGAGUUCGGUAGGGGAGACUGGAAUUCCUGGUGUAGCGGUGAAAUGCGCAGAUAUCAGGAGGAACACCGGUGGCGAAGGCGGCUUUCUGGGUCUUACCUGACGCUGAGGAACGAAAGCCAGGGGAGCGAACGGG
rnacentral:rRNA from 1 species